GCUCGAGAUCUGCAGUGGCUGCCGGUCAAUGGAUCAUGAAGAUGGAGGUGGUGGCUUAUGCCUGUUAAUCCCCCACGCUAUGAGAGGCUGAGGCGGGAGGAUCACUUGGGGCCAGUAGUUUGAGACCAGCCUGGGCAACAUGG
rnacentral:lncRNA from 1 species